rnacentral:snRNA from 1 species
UCUAUCUGGCAUGAUAUGA